GACGUAGGGCGCGAGCGUUGUCCGGAUUUAUUGGGCGUAAAGAGCUCGUAGGCGGCUUGUCGCGUCGUCCGUGAAAACUUGGGGCUCAACCCCAAGCUUGCGGUCGAUACGGGCAGGCUAGAGUUCGGUAGGGGAGACUGGAAUUCCUGGUGUAGCGGUGAAAUGCGCAGAUAUCAGGAGGAACACCGGUGGCGAAGGCGGGUCUCUGGGCCGAUACUGACGCUGAGGUGCGAAAGCGUGGGGAGCAAACAGG
rnacentral:rRNA from 1 species